AGGGGUGUAGCUCAGUGGUAGAAGAGUGCUUACCUAGUGUGCAUGAGGCCCUGGGUUCAAUCCCUAGCACCACAU
rfam:Ictidomys tridecemlineatus contig028514, whole genome shotgun sequence.